AGAGAUUGAAAGAGGAUAGAGGAAUUCCUAGUGUAGAGGUAAAAUUCGUAAAUAUUAGGAGGAACACCAGUGGCGAAGGCGUCUAUCUGGUUCAAAUCUGACGCUGAGGCGCGAAGGCGUGGGGAGCAAACAGGAUUAGAUACCCUGGUAGUCCACGCUGUAAACGAUGAAUGUUAAAUAUGGGAAAUUUAUUUUCUGUAUUACAGCUAACGCGUUAAACAUUCCGCCUGGGGACUACGGUCGCAAGAUUAAAACUCAAAGGAAUUGACGGGGACCCGCACAAGCGGUGGAGCAUGUGGUUUAAUUCGAUGCAACGCGAAAAACCUUACCACUCCUUGACAUGGAAAUCAUACCUAUUCGAAGGGAUAGGGUCGGUUCGGCCGGAUUUCACACAGGUGUUGCAUGGCUGUCGUCAACUCGUGUCGUGAGAUGUUGGGUUAAGUCCCGCAACGAGCGCAACCCUCAUCCUUAGUUACCAUCAGAUAAUGCUGGGGACUUUAAGGAAACUGCUAGUGAUAAACUGGAGGAAGGUGGGGAUGAUGUCAAGUCAUCAUGGCCCUUAUGGAGUGGGCUACACACGUGCUACAAUGGUGGCUACAAUGGGCUGCAAAGUCGCGAGGCUAAGCUAAUCCCUUAAAAGCCAUCUCAGUUCGGAUUGCACUCUGCAACUCGAGUGCAUGAAGUUGGAAUCGCUAGUAAUCGUGGAUCAGCAUGCCACGGUGAAUACGUUCUCGGGUCUUGU
rnacentral:rRNA from 1 species